rnacentral:rRNA from 1 species
GAAUCUACCUUUUCUUGGGGGAUAACGUAAGGAAACUUACGCUAAUACCGCAUACCACCUUCGGGUGAAUGCAGGGGACCUUCGGGCCUUGCGCGGAUAGAUGAGCCGAUGUCGGAUUAGCUAGUUGGCGGGGUAAAGGCCCACCAAGGCGACAAUCCGUAGCUGGUCUGAGAGGAUGAUCAGCCACACUGGAACUGACACACGGUCCCCACUCCUACGGGAGGCAGCAGUGGGGAAUAUUGGACAAUGGGCGCAAGCCUGAUCCAGCCAUACCGCGUGGGUGAAGAAGGCCUUCGGGUUGUAAAGCCCUUUUGUUGGGAAAGAAAAGCAAUCGGCUAAUACCCGGUUGUUCUGACGGUACCCAAAGAAUAAGCACCGGCUAACUUCGUGCCAGCAACCGCGGUAAUACGAAGGGUGCAAUCGUUACUCGGAAUUACUGGGCCUAAAGCGUGCGUACGUGGUUGUUUAAGUCUGUUGUGAAAUCCCUGGGCUCAACCUGGGAAUUGCCGUGGAUACUGGGCGACUAGAGUGUGGUAUAGGGUAUUGGAAUUCCCGGUGUACCAGUGAAAUGCGUAGAGAUCGGGAGGAACAUCCAUGGCGAAGGCAGCUACCUGGACCAACACUGACACUGAGGCACGAAAGCGUGGGGAGCAAACAGGAUUAGAUACCCUGGUA